GAAAAAUACUUAGCAGUCAGUCCGAGUCCGUACUCACAUCAAGAAAAACCAAAAUUGGCUAGCAGGGACAUUAUCAGUCCGAGAAAUGAGACUCCAGUGAAACAGAAACACAUCAUGUAUAACACGCCGUCCACGAGUGCUGCUGCAAGGAUCAAAUCAUCGCCAAUGGCAGAGUCGGUCAUGGAGGAAAUAGCGGAUGAGAGCAGCAUACACACCGAUCUUGUAGCUUACAUGUUGAUCACGCACCCCGAUUUCAUCCAGGAUGCAUUCCCUCCACGAGUACUGCUGCAAGGAUCAAACCUCGGCGAUGUCAUAGGCUGUCAAGAAGCAAAUAACGGAUGAAAGAACUGUAUUCAUCGAUCAUGUAGCAGACAUGUUUUUCAUGCAACCGGAUGACAAACAUUUUAGCUGCUGGAACUCCGUCAAUUAUUAUGCAGAAGCAGGAGAGUCCAGUCAAACAGAAACACAUCAUAAAUGACAUGCCGUCUACGAGUGCUGCUGCAAGGAUAAUGAAAUUGGCAAUGGCAGAGGCAGUCAAGGAGGAAAUAGCGGAUUAGAGUACUGUACGUUGUCAUGCAACCGGAUUUCAUCCUGGAUGACAUGCCAAACACGAGUUCGGAGAUCGCAGACCCGGUAGAGGAGGAAUUAACGGAUAAGAGUACUAUGUAGUAAUAUACUUUCUUUUAUAAUGUGAACAUAACCAUCCACAACAUGCCAUCCACGAGUGCUGCUGCAAGGAUCAAUCAUCGGCAAUGUAGCCGGCCGUCAAGGAGGAAACAUCGGAGUAUAGUACUAUUUAGUUCAAUUCUGAAGCUAACAUGUUUCCCAUGCAAUCGGAUUUCAUCCUGGAUCCAUCCUCGUGUGCUGGUGCAAGGCUAAAUCCUAGGCGAUCAAAUGGCCGGAAGCAUAAGAGUCCUUUGAAACAUAACCACAUCCUGAAUGACAUGCCAUCCACGAGGGCUGCUGCAAGGAUCAACACUUCGGCGAUGGCAUAAGCGGUCAAGAAAAUAAUGGAUGAGAGUACUAUACACAUCGAUCCUGUAGCUUACAUGUUGGUCAUGUAAUCGAGUUUCAUCCUGGAUGACAUGCCAUCCACGAGUGCUGCUUCAAGGAUAAAAACAUCGGCGAUGGCAGAGCCGGUAAGGGAGGGAACCACGGAUGAGAGUACUUUAAAAUAAUAUACUUUUAAAAUGUAGGAAACAGAAGAUUUCUGUGAAACAGAAGCACAUCCUGAUGACUGCCAUCCACGGCUGCUGCUGCAAGGAUCAAAACAUCGGCGAUGGCAGAGCCAGUCAAAAAGCAAAUAUUAAGUGAAGAAAGUAUUGUAUACAUCGAUCCUGUAGCUAACAUGUUUUUCAUGCAACCGGAUGACGAACAUGUUAGCUUCAGGAUCGAUGUGUAUAGCACUCUCCUCCGUUGUUUCCUCCUUUACCACCUCUGCCAUCCUUGAUGCUUUGAUCCUUGCGGCAGCACUCGUAGAUGGGAAGUCAUCAGGAUGUGGUCCUGCUUAUCAGGACUCUCCUGUUUCAUACAUUAUAAAUAAGAGUAUCUUACUAGACAAACAGACAAUCUGUGCAAAAAGAGUACUUUCUGGAGAAUUUCAUAACAUAAAGAGAUAAUUUCGGUGACAGGGUCUCUUCUGGAUGUCAUGUGGGUGCGAGAGGGAAAGCUUUAAAAACACAACGCUUUUUGCUCUCUGUUUCCGCUUAUCAACGCUGUUAACAAAUAAUAACAAACAUUCGUUAAAA